UGCGCAGGCGGUUGUGUAAGUCUGAUGUGAAAGCCCCGGGCUCAACCUGGGAACUGCAUUGGAGACUGCACGGCUAGAGUGCGUCAGAGGGGGGUAGAAUUCCGCGUGUAGCAGUGAAAUGCGUAGAGAUGCGGAGGAAUACCGAUGGCGAAGGCAGCCCCCUGGGAUGACACUGACGCUCAUGCACGAAAGCGUGGGGAGCAAACAGGAUUAGAUACCCUGGUAGUCCACGCCCCAAACGAUGUCAACUAGCUGGUUGGGGGUUUGAAUCCUUGGUAGCGUAGCUAACGCGAGAAGUUGACCGCCGUGGGGAGUACGGCCGCAAGGUUAAA
rnacentral:rRNA from 1 species